GAGAAAGAAAGGAGAGCCUUCUCUCUUUCUCUCUUUCUCUCUAACUCACACCUCACAUCUCUCUCUCCACCUCUUUUGUAAUUUCUCCAUCAAAGAGGAAAGAAAUGGAGAUUUUGAAAGUUUCAAGUGGAGAAGAAGCUUGAUGGAGCUCUCCAAUGGUGGAUUAAGUUUCUUUUCCAAGAUGGCCAUGGAUAAUUCGACGCGGAGGACAACUUCGUUUUGGAUUACAACGAGGUUACGGCGUUCAAUUGAGAGAUUUGCGGAAUUUGGUUCGUUAGGCUUGGGUCGAGCUAAAAUGGCAACAGUAAAUUGCAGGACUUGAUUUCUCACUUCUUGACGUCGAUAUGAGUGGUAGGUAUAGGGUUGCCGAGAGAGGACCGCGGCAAGGGCA